UUAUCACUUCAUUCUCUCAACUGUGAGUUACUUCUGAAGAAAGCUAUGAUCUUUGUAUCUUUUGGUUAGUUAGUUUCCCCUUUUUUCAUUGCAAUGUUUCUUGUGCAGGGAUCAGCCAAGAGUAGGAGUGUAGUUGGGGAAGCUUCGAUCGAUUUAGCAGCUUAUGCCGAGACAGCGAAAGCUUCGUUUGUGUCUCUUCCCUUGAAGAACUCCAAGACUAAUGCAGUGUUACAUGUAAGUAAUUUUAGUGGGCAUUGUUGGCUUUUUUAAGUUUUGAGGCUUUGGUGUUUAACUUGUGUGUGAUCGUGUUCAAAAUAGGUUUCGAUUCAGAAGUUGCAGGCGAGCGUAGCUGUAGAUCAGAGGUAAUGGCUGGUUGGAUAGGUGUAGUUUGCGACGUAUUCUUGCUUAUGUACUUUGCCAUGGAUUGGUUUCUUAUA
rnacentral:lncRNA from 1 species